rnacentral:sRNA from 1 species
CAUAGGCCGCAGCCGAGGUGCCAUCAUCUCCCAGUACUACAACCGCACGGUGCAGCUUCGGCGCAGGAGCAGCCGGCCCCUGCUCGGGAACUUUGUCCACUCCGCCCGGCCCAGCCUCCGCCUGUACGACCUGGAGCUGGACCCCACGGCCCGGGAGGAGGAGGAGAAGCAGAGCCUCCUGGUGAAGGAGCUCCAGAGCCUGGCAGUGGCACAGCGGGACCACAUGCUUCGAGGGAUGCCCUUAAGCCUGGCUGAGAAACGCAGCCUGCGAGAGAAGAGCAGGACCCCGAGGGGGAAGUGGAGGGGCCAGCCGGGCAGCGGCGGGGUCUGCUCCUGCUGUGGCCGGCUCAGAUAUGCCUGCGUGCUGGCCUUGCACAGCCUGGGCCUGGUGCUGCUCUCCGCCCUGCAGGCCCUGAUGCCGUGGCGCUACGCCCUGAAGCGCAUCGGGGGCCAGUUCGGCUCCAGCGUGCUCUCCUACUUCCUCUUUCUCAAGACCCUGCUGGCUUUCAAUGCCCUCCUGCUGCUGCUGCUGGUGGCCUUCAUCAUGGGCCCUCAGGUCGCCUUCCCACCCGCCCUGCCGGGCCCUGCCCCCGUCUGCACAGGCCUGGAGCUCCUCACAGGCGCGGUGAGGAAGCCCUAGGACUGGGGGACGGGGGGUGCCUGUCUUCUGCUACCCUGGUACCGUGUCCCCUUCUUGUCCCAGCUCCCCUGGGGCCCCCAACCCUUGCCCCGCUGUGACUCCAGGUGGCCACAGCCAGCUCCCCGCCUCCCCCUCAAUGACCCUGGAUGCUCAUCGUGCUGGGGUUCCCAUGGGGCUGGAGGCCCAAGAUUGCUGUGGCCAAGGCCCCUCCCUGUUUCCCUCACUGCCCCUGCCUGGCCUCCUCCUGCUCUGCCCCUGUGGCUGUCAGGCCUGAGGGUCGGGGUGGGGCGUGGGGAGAGUCCCUGACUCAGCUGGAUCUCCCUGUGGCAGG